AUAUUAUCUUCUCCUUUUCUGCUUCCAUGUAAUUAACCUUGAUGGAUAUAUCAACCGCUAUAUAUUGGCUGUAACGUCAUAUGUUUUAUGGCAAUUACCUUCUGAUAUACUAUGCGCUUUUUUAUGCCAAGUAUUAUAUCAUAUGAAAUAUUAUCAGGUACAAUAUUUUGGCUUCUUGAAGUUUAUUUGCAUAUAUCUGGAUUUGGUUGAAUACUUUUUGUUGGCUGUUUGUGCUUUUGUGGAGUCUGAAGAUUAAUCAGGUUUGAUUUUAGCACAAGUUCAAGUUCGCCUUAGAGCUUGAGAUAAAUCCAUUACAAGUCCAAGUGAAGAGGUCCUUGAAGCUAGCAUCGUGGUGUGACAUCGAGGCGGUAGCAUUGUGGUUUAAGAAGAAGUCUAUUGGAGCUCAUGUUACAGAAGGGAAAUUGAAGAUCCUAAAAUCUCUUCAAAGUCCUAAUAGUUGGAACGGUGAUUCAUCUUUGGUGGUUUUCUGCAACAUCCUUUGGUUGAUGAAAAGUAUAAAAAGCUAUGGCUGCAGCUAAAGCAGUGGACUUGUCACCAAAUUUCAACUUGAGAGAGUGGCACAUGGAUCACCACUUUCUUAGAAAAGCAUCCAAGGUUUCCCUCUUUGAUUUUGAGUUUGAUUAACUGCAUGCCAUCUUAUAUUCAAGUUAUCUUACAUUUUUUCAAAUCAUUCCCUUAUAUUUUAGAAAAUAGAUUUUUAUACUUGAAACUUGUGUUAUUUCUUGUGUCAACCUAAUUUGUUAGUGUUUAAUUAAUUCUGUGUACCAGUUUCAUCUAAAACUACAGUUCAACAAAAUAAUAUGAUGAACCAAAGAUUGAACUAUUAGAUGUUUCAAAUUACUUUUAAAAGCAAAGUUAGUAUACAAUUUUUAAUAUUUCUAUGUUUUACCGUUAAUGUCAAUGUAAUUCCUCUCUCUCUCUGAAUAAAUAUAAUUACACUGAGUUAUUUAUGGUGGCACUAAAAUAUGGGUCAAAUAAAUUCUAUUGACUUCAUCGGUUACAUAUUCAUAAAAGUAUUUGCAUUCAUAAAUAGUAAUCUCAUCUUUUACAAAGUUGAUCCUCUUGGAUCACGAAGUUCAUGUGGGCACCACUUGUUGCUAUCCAUGAAUUGAUUGCAAAUUGGUAUUAUUUGCUAUUUAUAAAUAGAUAAUAAAUAGAUAAUAAUUAACUUAAAUGAGUAUAACUUAGCAGUAAUUAACAUAUAUUACUUUCUUUUUUAAGCCUGAGGUUUAAAUUUUCAUACUUUUUCAUUUUUUGUAUUAAAAAAAUGAUUCAAUCCUUAGAGCCAUGUAAAAACUUCAUCAAAUCAUAUAGGACAUGUCAUGGGACUAUGCAUUGGAUUUUGUAGGUAGUUGAGAUAUUCAUUUGUAGUUGAUAGAGUGUCUAUAACAAUAGUUAUCAGGAAACUAUUCAAAUAACACCGUUUGAGGCUCUUUAUAGGAAGAGGUAUCGGUCAUAUGUGUUUUAGGACGAAGUGGGGAAGCACAAACUUUUAGGACCCAAGUUGGUUCAUUUUACUAACGAAGCGGUGCAAAACAUUAGAAUGAGAAUGUGAGCUGCAUAGAGUAGGUAGAAAAACUAUGCUGACUCAAGGAGAAAAAAUUUGAAGUUCAUAGUUGGUGAUCACGUGUUCUUGAAGGUUGCACUUGUGAAAGGGAUAUUAAGGUUUGGGAAGAAAAGAAAAUUAAACCCGCUAUUUAUCGUGCCAUUUGAGGUUUUGAAGCGAAUUGGGCCUUUGGCUUAUUGUUUGACACUGCCUGCAGCUAUGGCUGCAUUUCAUGAUGUGUUUCAUGUCUCUAUGUCAUGUAGAUAUAUAGCAUACCCAUCACAUAUUAUAUACUUGGAUCUAUUCCACUUGAGGGAAGAUCUGAGUUAUGCAGAAAGGUCAACAUAAAUUUGUACGAGAGAAAUAAAGACUUUUUGCAUAAGAGGAAGAUGACACCAGCAAAAGUAUUAUGGGAGAAUCAUCUAUUGAAGCAACCUGAGAAUGAGAAGAUGAAAUAAAGACCAAUUACCCAAAGUUGUUUAAGAACUAGAAUUUUUUUAGGGAUGAAAGCUUUUAAGGAGGAAAGAAAUUGUAGUAAAAAAAAAAAAGAAAAAAGAAAAAAAGAAGGGAAAACCGAAAUCUUGGCGUUGAUUAGCAACAAGCAACGCCCAACAACCUAUUGCCCUGUUGAAAAUAUAGGAAUGAAAUCUAUUGUUGAUCAUUCGUCUUCAAACCCUUGUAGCAUGACACAUGAAUUUCUAUAUAGAGCUUAGAUAUGAGCAUGCUUUGUUGUUUCCUGCCACUCUGUUAUGAUUAUGUAUGUGCCUCUUUAUGUUAUUAGGUUGUUAUGACGAGGCUGCUUUAGUGAUGAGUUAUUUAUACACAACCCACAUAUUUAUCUUAGUUGGUACUGACACGUGACCUCUCUCCUCA